rnacentral:rRNA from 1 species
GACGGAAGGUGCAAGCGUUGUUCGGAAUCACUGGGCGUAAAGGGCGCGUAGGCGGCCGUGCACGUCUGGCGUGAAAGCCCCGGGCUCAGCCCGGGAAGUGCGCUCGAAACUGCGCGGCUCGAGUGCCGGAGGGGAGAGUGGAAUUCCUGGUGUAGCGGUGAAAUGCGUAGAUAUCAGGAGGAAUACCGGUGGCGAAAGCGACUCUCUGGACGGCAACUGACGCUGAGGCACGAAAGCGUGGGGAGCAAACAGG